rnacentral:rRNA from 1 species
AGAGUUUGAUCCUGGCUCAGGACGAACGCUGGCGGCGUGCUUAACACAUGCAAGUCGAACGGAAAGGCCCUUCGGGGUACUCGAGUGGCGAACGGGUGAGUAACACGUGGGUGAUCUGCCCUGCACUUUGGGAUAAGCCUGGGAAACUGGGUCUAAUACCGAAUAUGACCAUGCACUUCCUGGUGUGUGGUGGAAAGCUUUUGCGGUGUGGGAUGGGCCCGCGGCCUAUCAGCUUGUUGGUGGGGUAAUGGCCUACCAAGGCGACGACGGGUAGCCGGCCUGAGAGGGUGACCGGCCACACUGGGACUGAGAUACGGCCCAGACUCCUACGGGAGGCAGCAGUGGGGAAUAUUGCACAAUGGGCGCAAGCCUGAUGCAGCGACGCCGCGUGAGGGAUGACGGCCUUCGGGUUGUAAACCUCUUUCAGCACAGACGAAGCGCAAGUGACGGUAUGUGCAGAAGAAGGACCGGCCAACUACGUGCCAGCAGCCGCGGUAAUACGUAGGGUCCGAGCGUUGUCCGGAAUUACUGGGCGUAAAGAGCUCGUAGGUGGUUUGUCGCGUUGUUCGUGAAAACUCACAGCUUAACUGUGGGCGUGCGGGCGAUACGGGCAGACUUGAGUACUGCAGGGGAGACUGGAAUUCCUGGUGUAGCGGUGAAAUGCGUAGA